CCUACGGGGGGCAGCAGUGGGGAAUAUUGGACAAUGGGGGCAACCCUGAUCCAGCCAUGCCGCGUGUGUGAAGAAGGCCCUCGGGUUGUAAAGCACUUUCAGUGAGGAAGAACGCCUGGUGGUUAAUACCCAUCAGGAAAGACAUCACUCACAGAACAAGCACCGGCUAACUCCGUGCCAGCAGCCGCGGUAAUACGGAGGGUGCGAGCGUUAAUCGGAAUUACUGGGCGUAAAGCGCGCGUAGGUGGCUUGAUAAGCCGGUUGUGAAAGCCCCGGGCUCAACCUGGGAACGGCAUCCGGAACUGUCAAGCUAGAGUGCAGGAGAGGAAGGUAGAAUUCCCGGUGUAGCGGUGAAAUGCGUAGAGAUCGGGAGGAAUGCCAGUGGCGAAGGCGGCCUUCUGGACUGACACUGACACUGAGGUGCGAAAGCGUGGGUAGCAAACAGGAUUAGAUACCCGAGUAGUC
rnacentral:rRNA from 1 species